AAAUAAUAUUUAAGUUUCGAUGUUUAUACGACUUACGCUCCUAUUGUACCUAUUUUGUCAACGAUAAGUCAAAAGAUCACGAAACGCAUCUAGUUGAAGCUACUUAUUUUUUUCUAAAUAUAAAUUGUGACACUAAUAAAAAAACUAGAAAAUGUAAUUUUUACUUAAAUAUGCCGUUCGCAAGGUGACGGAAUAUUUUGUUCGUCGAAUUAAAUUUCUGCAGUAUUUUUCACUUAAUUUAUCAAACUAUAAAGAUUUGGCCAAAUAAUUAAAAUAAAACAGAAAUUAUGGACCAGCCUUAUACAGAAAGUAUAUUUUAUACCAUCAAGUCAAAAUAAUUCAAUGCAAAAGGAAAAUUAGUGGAAUGUUGGGGAAAUGUUGUACGCCAGCUUCUGAGCAUAGGGGAAAGAAAACAAAAACUUCUCUGUAACAUUACCAAUUUUAACAUUUUCUGAUGAAGCUGAAUCAGAAAAAGUUUGGUUAAGGACAUUUGGGUAAUCUUCUAACUUUGAUGAGUUAAAAAAAAACACUGGAAAUUAACUUAUGAAAUAAGAAAGGCUGAAAUUUGAGGUUUAAACAGCAUUACUGGUCGUCAUUUGUCUGAAAAUUUUAAAUCAUGGCCUAU